CCUGGUAGUCCACGCUGUAAACGAUGUCGAUUUGAAGGUUGUUCCCUUGAGGAGUGGCUUUCGGAGCUAACGCGUUAAAUCGACCGCCUGGGGAGUACGGCCGCAAGGUUAAAACUCAAAUGAAUUGACGGGGGCCCGCACAAGCGGUGGAGCAUGUGGUUUAAUUCGAUGCAACGCGAAGAACCUUACCUACUCUUGACAUCCAGAGAACUUAGCAGAGAUGCUUUGGUGCCUUCGGGAACUCUGAGACAGGUGCUGCAUGGCUGUCGUCAGCUCGUGUUGUGAAAUGUUGGGUUAAGUCCCGCAACGAGCGCAACCCUUAUCCUUUGUUGCCAGCGAUUCGGUCGGGAACUCAAAGGAGACUGCCGGUGAUAAACCGGAGGAAGGUGGGGAUGACGUCAAGUCAUCAUGGCCCUUACGAGUAGGGCUACACACGUGCUACAAUGGCGUAUACAAAGAGAAGCGACCUCGCGAGAGCAAGCGGAACUCAUAAAGUACGUCGUAGUCCGGAUUGGAGUCUGCAACUCGACUCCAUGAAGUCGGAAUCGCUAGUAAUCGUAGAUCAGAAUGCUACGGUGAAUACGUUCCCGGGCCUUGUACACACCGCCCGUCACACCAUGGGAGUGGGUUGCAAAAGAAGUAGGUAGCUUAACCUUCGGGAGGGCGCUUACCACUUUGUGAUUCAUGACUGGGGUGAAGUCGUAA
rnacentral:rRNA from 1 species